rnacentral:rRNA from 1 species
UACGGAGGGUGCAAGCGUUGUCCGGAUUUAUUGGGUUUAAAGGGUGCGUAGGCGGCCCUGUAAGUCAGUGGUGAAAUACUGCAGCUUAACUGUAGCAUUGCCAUUGAUACUGUAGGGCUUGAGUACAGAUGAGGUAGGCGGAAUUGAUGGUGUAGCGGUGAAUGCAUAGAUACCAUCAAGAACACCGAUUGCGAAGGCAGCUUACUAAGCU